GCAAGUCGAACGAGAAAGCACUUCGGUGUGAGUACAGUGGCGCACGGGAGAGUAACGCGUAGAUGACGUGCCUUAUAGUGGGGGACAACAUCGUGAAAACGGUGCUAAUACCGCAUAUGAUGAAUGACAUUGAAAAAAUUCAAGAAAGGAGGCUUCGGCUUUCGCUAUAAGAUCGGUCUGCGUGACAUUAGCUUGAUGGUGGGGUAAUGGCCUACCAUGGCAACGAUGUCUAGCUGGUCUGAGAGGAUGAUCAGUCACACUGGAACUGAGACACGGUCCAGACUCCUACGGGAGGCAGCAGUAGGGAAUAUUGCACAAUGGGGGAAACCCUGAUGCAGCAAUGCCACGUGAGUGAGGAAGGCCUUCGGGUUGUAAAGCUCUGUCCUAUAGGAAGAAAGGCGAUAUGGUUAAUACCCAUAACGUUUGACGGUACUAUAGAAGAAAGCACCGGCUAACUCCGUGCCAGCAGCCGCGGUAAUACGGAGGGUGCAAGCGUUGUACGGAUUUACUGGGCGUAAAGCGCGCGCAGGCGGAUUAGCAAGUCAGAUGUGAAAUCUCGGGGCUCAACCCCGAAACUGCGUCUGAAACUGUUAGUCUAGAAUCUCAGAGGGGGCAGGGGAAUUUCACGUGUAGGGGUAAAAUCCGUAGAGAUGUGAAGGAACACCGGUGGCGAAGGCGCCUGCCUGGAUGAGUAUUGACGCUGAGGCGCGAAAGCGUGGGGAGCAAACAGGAUUAGAUACCCUGGUAGUCCACGCCGUAAACGAUGAGUACUAGCCUUUGGAGGUAUUGACCCCUUCAGGAGCAAAGCUAACGCAUUAAGUACUCCGNCUGGGAAGUACGGUCGCAAGACUAAAACUC
rnacentral:rRNA from 1 species